rnacentral:tRNA from 1 species
GCGGGUGUGAUGUAAUGGUAGCUUGCGACCUUCCCAAGGUUGACGCGCGGGUUCGAUUCCCGCCACCCGCU